rnacentral:miRNA from 2 species
GACAGUCAGAAGUUGGUCUGGC